GUUCCAGGUACUAAAACCACUGGCUUUGGGGCCAGCAAGAAUUCUGAUCCCCCACUAUUAGAUGUAUGACUUUGAGCAUGUUACUUAACAUCUCUGAGCCUCAGUUUCUGCAUUUGUAAAAUGGGGAUACUAGUACCUAUUGCAUAGUUGUUAUGAGGAUUAGAU
rnacentral:snoRNA from 1 species